rnacentral:rRNA from 1 species
GACGAACGCUGGCGGCGUGCUUAACACAUGCAAGUGGAGCGACGAACCAGGGCUUGCCCUGGGGCAGAGCCGCGAACGGGUGAGUAACACGUGGGUAACGUGCCCCGAUGAUCGGGACAACCCGGGGAAACCGGGCUAAUACCGAAUGUGCUCCCCUCACACCAGUGAGGGAUGGAAAGGAAGCUUCGGCCUCCGCAUCGGGAUCGGCCCGCGGCCCAUUAGCUUGUUGGUGAGGUAACGGCUCACCAAGGCUGCGAUGGGUAGCUGGUCUGAGAGGACGAUCAGCCACACUGGGACUGAGACACGGCCCAGACUCCUACGGGAGGCAGCAGUGGGGAAUCUUGCGCAAUGCGCGAAAGCGUGACGCAGCAACGCCGCGUGGGGAAGACGGCCU